UACGUAGGGUGCAAGCGUUGUCCGGAAUUAUUGGGCGUAAAGAGCUCGUAGGCGGUUUGUCGCGUCUGCCGUGAAAGUCCGGGGCUCAACUCCGGAUCUGCGGUGGGUACGGGCAGACUAGAGUGAUGUAGGGGGAGACUGGAAUUCCUGGUGUAGCGGUGAAAAUGCGCAGAUAUCAGGAGGAACACCGAUGGCGAAGGCAGGUCUCUGGGCAUUAACUGACGCUGAGGAGCGAAAGCAUGGGGAGCGAACAGG
rnacentral:rRNA from 1 species